rnacentral:rRNA from 1 species
UACGUAGGGUGCAAGCGUUGUCCGGAAUUAUUGGGCGUAAAGAGCUCGUAGGCGGUCUGUCGCGUCUGCUGUGAAAACUCAGGGCUUAACCCCUGAGCUUGCAGUGGGUACGGGCAGACUAGAGUGCGGUAGGGGGAGACUGGAAUUCCUGGUGUAGCGGUGAAAUGCGCAGAUAUCAGGAGGAACACCGGUGGCGAAGGCGGGGUCUCUGGGGCCGUAACUGACG